UUCUUCGUCUGCGACUUUAUCAACAGGAGCAGGAAAGAAUUCGAAAAGAAAGAUCUCAACUUUAUAAGAGCCAAGUUGGGCAAGGCGAAAGAAACGAGAAGGUCAGAACUUAUAAUUUUCAACAUGACCGUCUCUGUGAUCACCGAGUAAACUUUUCUAUAACGCUCCGGGAUGCCCUUGAAAAUGGAAAGCUAGAAGAGAUCUACCAGAAACUGCAUGAAAAGGAAAGGCUGGAAUAUUUGUGCAGCCUUUAAUUUUU